UUCCGGUUGAUCCUGCCGGACCUGACUGCUAUCGGAUUGAUACUAAGCCAUUGCGAGUCAUUGUAGUAAUACAAACGCCAGACGGCUCAGUAACGCGUACUCAAACUAACCUAUGGACGGGAAUAACCUCGGGAAACUGAGUAUAAUGCCCGGUAGAACAUUAUGCCUGGAAUGGUUUACUGUUCCAAACUGAUUUAUCGCCGCUAGGAUUGGGACUGCGGCCUAUCACGCUUUGUUUGGUGAGUGUAAUGGCCCACCAAGACUAUUACGCGGUACGGGCUCUGAGAGUGAGUGGCCCGGAGAUGGGUACUGAGACACGGACCCAGGCCCUAUGGGGCGCAGCAGUGCGAGAAAACUUUGCAAUGUGCGAAAGCACGACAACGGUUAAUCCGAGCUGGUUUCUGCUAAAGGAACCUUUUGUCACGUCCUAGCAAACACUGAUGAAUAAGGGGCUGGGCAACCUUCUGGCUGUCACCCCGCCGCCGUACAACCACGCACCUCAAGCUGGUCAGCGAUGAUUCAUUGCGCGCCUAAAGCAUCCUGUAGCCGGCUCUGUAAGCUUUUCGGCUUAAAUCUGUACGCUUAACGUACAGGCUGCCUGGCAAUACUGUAGAGCUACGGAG
rnacentral:rRNA from 1 species